UACGUAGGGUGCGAGCGUUAAUCGGAAUUACUGGGCGUAAAGCGUGCGCAGGCGGUUUUGUAAGCCAGAUGUGAAAGCCCCGGGCUUAACCUGGGAAUGGCAUUUGGGACUGCAAGGCUUGAGUGCGGCAGAGGAGACUGGAAUUCCUGGUGUAGCAGUGAAAUGCGUAGAUAUCGAGAGGAACACCGGUGGCGAAGGCGGCCAACUGGACGAAUACUGACGCUGAGACUCGAAAGCGUGGGGAGCAAACAGG
rnacentral:rRNA from 1 species